AAAAUCAUCAUUUCUACACGAAUAGGCCAAUCAAGCACUGUAGAUUCAAGCAUGAGGAUCACCAGUGCGAAGCUUUUCGGAUGUCAACAGCAAAAGCGAUUCUGUAGCUGAGCCCUCCAGGUCUAACACCUGCAUAUCCUCUUGGCCUUCAUGUCUGCAUUUCCCUGGAGGAGGGAAACAAGCCUGCCUUCUCCCUUCCAGACUCCAAGAAAUGGUUGUACCUGGUCUGCAAAAGAGAUGCCACCAACUCCUUUGUCAAUGAAUGCUUUUCUAGACUAUUUUCUGGUACCUUUUUGGAAUAA